UANAUUAUACNGUGACACUGCNUGNGGCUCAUUAUAUCUUUUAUUUUAUUUUUUAUGGUUCCNUAUUANCUGGAUGACCGUGCUUGUUCUUCAGCUAAUACNUGCAUGCAAUCCCCACUGCCGGGGGGAGGANUGGUUUUUAUUAUAGCACGCCCUUCAGGGCACCCUGCUGAAUACCGAGGAAAGGGCGAAUUUAUUAGGCACGUGCCNGGCACGAGGCAUUCCAAACCAAUAUAUAUAUAUAUUGGGCCCCAACGUCCUGUCCGGUGAUGCANAAUAACUUGAACGGGGAAUNUACGGUAACUUAUAUUUGUUAUUAUAAUCUUCGGAUUUUAAUAGCAAAUAUAAGUCGGCGACGAUUCAUUCGAAUUUCUGCCCCAUCAACUCUCGAUGGUAGGAUAGAGGCCUACCAUGGUCGCAACGGGUAACGGGGNAUNCNGGAUUCCUGCCUCAGGCUUUCGCCNAUUUNGCAGNAUUCCCUGCCCGCAANGAC
rnacentral:rRNA from 1 species